ACAAAACAUCAUUUUGACGUUGAUCCUUAUUUUGUGUUAAAAAUAAGAACUAAGUAAACGCAGAUGUUGUUGUCUUUGAGGUAACCUAGAAGUAAAGUUCAGUAUAAUAUAUUAAAUAUUAGUACUCACCAAAAUAAGAAUUAUUAAGAAAAUAACUUUAACGAUACAAAUUUCACUGCCCCAGAUGCGCAUUUCAAUAACUAAUGUCUUUACUGUGAUAAUCGAGAUAAUCGAGAUAAUCGGUUUAAAAUCCGAAACCUUAUUAAACAAUGAAAGGCUAAGAAAACGAAAAAGGACCAAAAGAAAAUGCAAAACCAAAAACAAAGAAUCAUUGGUAUGCAUGAGUGAAAUACAUUCCUUUAUUUAUAAUGAUUAAUCAAAACUUUUAACAGCUCCAAAUAAAACAACACCCGUAUGUUCAUGUCAGUAACUACUAACUAGUGGCUACUGGGCUUAAAUAUGUUCAUCAAACUAAUUAAAAAAAAAAUCAAACUGGAAUAAAAUUGUAGACCUUAAACCAUGGUGACAAUAAGACAGUGAUGAAGAUCCACUUCAGACGAGUAUAUCAAGUGUGUUAGUUAGAUCGAUAAUGAGACAAGGAAACAUACUCUGCUAGAAGUCAUAUAUAAUGAGGUCUAGUAAGAGUGAUAAGGAAACAAGAAAACAUACUCUGCUAGAAGUCAUAUAUAGUGAGGUCUAGUAAGAGUGAUAAGGAAACAAGAAAACAUACUCUGCUAGAAGUCAUAUAUAGUGAGGUCUAGUAAGAGUGAUAAGGAAACAAGAAAACAUACUCUGCUAGAAGUCAUAUAUAGUGAGGUCUAGUAAGAGUGAUAAGGAAACAAGAAAACAUACUCUGCUAGAAGUCAUAUAUAGUGAGGUCUAGUAAGAGUGAUAAGGAAACAAGAAAACAUACUCUGCUAGAAGUCAUAUAUAGUGAGGUCUAGUAAGAGUGAUAAGGAAACAAGAAAACAUACUCUGCUAGUAAUCAUAUAUAGUGAGGUCUAGUAAGUGCGAUGCGGAAAGAAGAAAACAUACUCUGUAAUUAUCAUAUAUAGUGUGGGUUAGAACAACGACGAGGAAAUGAGAAAACAAACUCUGCUAGUAAUCAUAUUUAGUUAGAGCUAGUGAGAACAAUAUGGAAAUAAAAAAAAACAUACUCUGCUAGUAAUCAUAUAUAGUGAGGGCUAAUAAGUGCGAUGCGAAAAUAAGAAAAAAUACUCUGUAAUCUAUCAUAUAUAGUGUAGGUUAGUAAGAACGACGAGGCAAUGAGAAAACAAACUCUGCUAGUACUUACAUAUCGUGAGGGCUAGUAAGAACAAUAAGGAAAUAAGUAUUAUAAUCUGUUAGUUAUCAUAUAUAUUGAGAGUUAGAAGGAACAGUAGGAACUAAGAAAAAACAUGCUCCACUAGAAAUAAUUUAUAAUGAGAGCCUUCUAAAAAAGAUACAUUAUAAUCUGUACUGGCAUUAUGGUUAUGUCUAAGUUAUCCUUUUUUUAAUCACAAACCAACAUUUAGGUUAUAGGAAGGGUUGAGCGCUCACAAGCAUGGUUGACCCUGUCUUUGUGUGCGUCCCCGAAUCAUGGGCUUAUAACUCAGUGAUUGUCGUUGUUUGCUGGCUGUCAUAUUUGUUUUUAUUUUAUUGUUUUUACAAAAAAUAAGCGUGUUUGUCUGGUUUUUCACAUGUUGUCAUUUCUGUUAUUUUGAUAGCUAACUAAUCGGCUGUU